ACCGUGAAGGGGACAUCCCCGACGCUGCCCACGGAGUAGCAGUUGUCUCCAGGGUUGACAGCUCCGGUGAGGACCUGAUGCAGAUGCAUCUCCGGAGCCCGGGCUGGACAGAAUGCGCGGGAGGUGCGACAAGCUCCGCGCCUGACCCUCCUCGGGCUGCGAGAGCCGUUUCCCUCUGUGCCUCCCUCGGAAACCCGCCCCGCGGAGGCUCUGGCUUAACUCCUCGCCCCCCUUUCGCCUUCCCUCCGCCUCGUCCCUGCCAUGGGAGCUCCUCGACCGCCGCCGCCGCCCGGGUCGCCGCUCAGCUGCGG
rnacentral:lncRNA from 1 species